UACGUAGGGGGCGAGCGUUGUCCGGAUUUAUUGGGCGUAAAGAGCGUGUAGGCGGCCAGGUAGGUCUGCUGUGAAAACUCGAGGCUCAACCUCGAGACGUCGGCGGAAACCAUCUGGCUAGAGUCCGGAAGAGGAGAGUGGAAUUCCUGGUGUAGCGGUGAAAUGCGCAGAUAUCAGGAAGAACACCCGUGGCGAAGGCGGCUCUCUGGGCCGUAACUGACGCUGAGGAGCGAAAAGCAUGGGGAGCGAACAGG
rnacentral:rRNA from 1 species